rnacentral:rRNA from 1 species
UACGAAGGGGGCUAGCGUUGCUCGGAAUCACUGGGCGUAAAGGGUGCUUAGGCGGGUCUUUCAGUCAGGGGUGAAAUCCUGGAGCUCAACUCCAGAACUGCCUUUGAUACUGAGGAUCUUGAGUUCGGGAGAGGUGAGUGGAACUGCGAGUGUAGAGGUGAAAUUCGUAGAUAUUCGCAAGAACACCAGUGGCGAAGGCGGCUCACUGGCCCGAUACUGACGCUGAGGCACGAAAGCGUGGGGAGCAAACAGG